UUGCUUAAUAGUUGAUACUAUGUUUCAUAGCUAAUACAGUAGUCAACUAGUAUAAAAAGAUUGAUAUUUUUAUUGAAAUCAAAAUAUAUCUGUUAAUGUCUGAUGAAUGAUGUGGAUCACUUCAUAUUCAUCAUCUCUGCCCUUCAUCUUGAAAUAAUUUGCAUGGAACAUGAUUCUGAAAUAUGAUUAUGGUAAGAGCAUCUCCAGCAGAGUAGUUAUAUGAUGUUUAAACUAUAAUUUUGAGAAAUAUGCACGAAAAUUCACUCCAUCAGAGUCUCGACUCAUUCCCUAAACAUCAAGGAUACAUUUUUCAUUCCUCAUAAAUAGGUAAUCCCUAUCUCAUUCCUCAUUUUGUCUUUAAUGAUUAAAUAUUCAACGGUCAUUUUUUGCGUACUCUUUCUCACAUCUUUUCUACUAUUUUUUUGCUAAAAGAAUUUGAAUUUAAUACUAUAAUAUUAAUAGGGAACACAAAUUUGCAAUCAAUAUAAAUUACCUGUUUUGAAUUGUUUAUUAUAUAUUUAGAGAACCUCCUCAAGACACUACUGAGAUGCUCUAACCAAUAUUCGUGAUGGAUCGCUUGAUAUAAAGGAGGUCAGUCUAUGGACUAUGGACGUGGUAUCUGAUGAGGUGUUUUGGAACAAAAUCUUCACUUUUGGCUCUGGUUUGGAGAAGAUAGAUCGGGUGUUUCUGUAUGCUGAUGCUAAUAAGUUUUUCGGAAAAACUAGGUGCACACGGAGAGCUUCCUUUCAGUGUAAAAAUUAAAGGGGGUCAAUGACAGCUGAAUGCAGAUGCCAGUUGCUGUUAGUUGUACUUGUUGAUUUAUGUUCUCUCUGCACAAUAUGGCUCAACAUUGUUGUAAUUUGAUAAAAAUAAUAAUAAGGAUAUAGAGACAGUAGUUUUAUGUGUAUAAACGGAGAAGAUACAUAAAGACUACAUUGUAUUCUCUUCUGAUAAACUAAACAAGAUACAUGCAGUUUAAAUAGAACCACAUGCAAGAGGUGGGUAACACAAAAAUAGUAACUAACCUAGAAAGUAGCGUACUGGACUCCUAAAAUACUUCAACUGCCCAUGACUCUCCUAUAAUAUCUCUCCUACUGCUACUUAUACACACGUAACUGCUGAUAUAAUUUAUUUAAAACAACUAAACAAAUAAAACACCUCAUAACAAUAAUUGACAAAAGUUUAGAUUAAAUAAAUAAUCCCAACAAUCUCCCCCUUAAUCUAAACUUAGUGCCUGGCAAAUUCUUCGCAUCUGGCAUGAUCUUUGGUACCCAUCUGGCAAGACCUUCGUAGCCGAUAUCUUUGGUGCCCAUCUGGCAAGACCUUCGUAGCCGAUAAGACUUUCUUUAUUGGCCCGUGUGGCCUUUUAAACUGAGCCCGUAUGGCUAUCCUUCUGAGCCCGUAUGGUUAUUCUUCACAAGCCCGUAUGACUUUUACACUGAGCCCGUAUGGCUAUCCUUUUGAGCCCGUAUGGCUAUUACUUCUUUGACUGUAUCGCACUUUAAAUUUGCCCGUCUGGCACGCCCAUCUGACACUUAGACUAAAGAAUGAACUCCAUAUGCAUCCCAUACUGCACAUGAUGCUCUCUCCUGCAUUUCAUGGAACAGUUGGCGCACUCUAUCAAAACCAACCUUUUGUCCUCACUCUUUCUUCACCGGCUCCCUCACUCUAACUGCUCUUCAGUACCUCCAAAGAAUGGUAGGGAAGGCUGUUAAGCCUUGAUACUCCCCCCAAGCUCUGAUACCAUGUUGUAAUUUGAUAAAAAUAAUAAUAAGGAUAUAGAGACAGUAGUUUUAUGUGUAUAAACGGAGAAGAUACAU
rnacentral:lncRNA from 1 species